AGUGAACGCUGGCGGUAGGCCUAACACAUGCAAGUCGAACGCCAGCACAGUAAGAGCUUGCUCUUACGGGUGGCGAGUGGCGGACGGGUGAGGAAUACAUCGGAAUCUACUUUUUCGUGGGGGAUAACGUAGGGAAACUUACGCUAAUACCGCAUACGACCUACGGGUGAAAGCAGGGGAUCUUCGGACCUUGCGCGAUUGAAUGAGCCGAUGUCGGAUUAGCUAGUUGGCGGGGUAAAGGCCCACCAAGGCGACGAUCCGUAGCUGGUCUGAGAGGAUGAUCAGCCACACUGGAACUGAGACACGGUCCAGACUCCUACGGGAGGCAGCAGUGGGGAAUAUUGGACAAUGGGCGCAAGCCUGAUCCAGCCAUACCGCGUGGGUGAAGAAGGCCUUCGGGUUGUAAAGCCCUUUUGUUGGGAAAGAAAAGCAGCAGGUUAAUACCCCGCUGUCCUGACGGUACCCAAAGAAUAAGCACCGGCUAACUUCGUG
rnacentral:rRNA from 1 species